CCUACGGGUGGCAGCAGUGGGGAAUAUUGGGCAAUGGGCGCAAGCCUGACCCAGCAACGCCGCGUGAAGGAAGAAGGCUUUCGGGUUGUAAACUUCUUUUCUCAGGGACGAAGAAAGUGACGGUACCCGAAGAAAAAGCAUCGGCUAACUCCGUGCCAGCAGCCGCGGUAAUACGGAGGAUGCGAGCGUUAUCCGGAUUUAUUGGGUUUAAAGGGUGCGCAGGCGGGAGAUCAAGUCAGCGGUAAAAUGUCGGGGCUCAACCCCGGCCGGCCGUUGAUACUGGUUGUCUAGAGUUGGAGAGAAGUAUGCGGAAUUCGUGGUGUAGCGGUGAAAUGCAUAGAUAUCACGAAGAACUCCGAUUGCGAAGGCAGCAUACCGGCUCCAUACUGACGCUGAGGCACGAAAGCGUGGGGAUCGAACAGGAUUAGAUACCCUGGUAGUC
rnacentral:rRNA from 1 species